CUCUCCGGCACCUUGCAUGAGGCGAAGGCUGGAGGUGAGCAAAGUAAAUCGCCCUUCCAGACGAUCUUAACUCUUGGUGGACUCCGUGGAAGGGAGAGAAGAAAGAGGAGUUAUGUUUCAGGCCUGGCCAUAGGACCAAAACAGCACUGAUUUUGCUUCUGGAUGACCUCUGGCAAGAACAGGAUGAAGUCACAGGGCUUCAAACAGAUUAUUUACAGCAAGCAUCCUUCUUCUUUGGAGUCUACACUCAGACGAUGAUGGAGAGGGUCACCUCAUUCAUACCGAGUGGUUCAUGAUGGGUCUCCACUCUGUACAGCUCUUUCCGAUGAGGGAGUUGGCGACUAUCAAUUGCACACUAUAUUCUAUUGAUGCCAGCAGUCUGUAUGCAAUGUUUAGAGGGAAUUGUGAAUGUGCUGGAGGCAGAGUUAACAUUCAGUGGCUGGACACUACUGCUUUCUGCAGACCAUUCGCUGCUCAUUCCAUUUGCUGCAAUUGAUAUGUGGGCUGCAUUAGUAUCCAAUGAUAUAAUCAAAAGGCCAUUCUAAUGUGACAAGACCUGCAUCAUGCGGGACAGUUAUCACAUGUUUUGUUGUCCAAACAGGGUAGUUUGUUCUAUCACCAACCAUAAGUCACUCCAAAGAGUCAAUGCUAUAAGGAAGCCAUGUGAAAUAUUGCAGCAGAACUGGCCAGCAAGAUGCAAUUUUUUUAUUCAUAUGUAGUUCCUAUACAUAUUUUAUUUUUAGUCUAUGAUAAUGUACCAAAUUCUGGCACAAGUACAGACAUUCAGAAAAAGAAAAGAAAAGCUCAAUUAGAUUGGUCAGUUAUUUUUGUGCUAAUGGAUUGUAAAAUAGUAACAGAAAGGAAAACAAGGAAAAAUUAGAUUAGAAAUGUAUGUAAGGAAACUAAAUUUUGGAAUAUGUGUCCUUCACCAAGCAACUUGGAAUCACUUAGACACAAUUUCUGAUAAAUUGGUUUCUAGAUCUCACAAUCCAGACAAUGUAACCAUAUUAAACCAGUAGUUGAUUAACUCUCUUUUUGUUUAUUAUAGAUGAAUAUUACCACAAAUUCAACCUCGGAAAGUUGUUACCAGAUAUUUAUGAUUUAAGAGAAAGUUUAGCAAUCUUUGAAAGAACUAGAGAAUGUUAUCAUUACAUUUCAGAGUAAAGAAGGUGAUUAAAAACAGCCCAAGUUAGAAUAUAAUCCUGUUAGAUACCCUAUAAUUAUAAGAUUCAGUGACAAGACAAAAUGCUGCAAUUACUACAGUCACCUUCCAUGAAAAGACAGACAUAAUUACUGUUCAUGCAAUGACACCCACUCUGCUUGUGCUUUGUAUCUAAAAUGAGCACAUCCACAAACAUCUCACUAAUGCCAGUGUUGAUUUCACAACACUAUUUUAGAAAUAAUUAACAAUUUCAUCUUUAAAGGAGAAUGGGAAAAGCACAAUAGCUGCUGCACGCAAUUGUUCACAAUGCUACUUAUGUUAAAAAUCAGUGUUUCUUGACUGGAUGUCAGCAGCUUAGUUUUAUUUUUCUAAAAGGUAUCUGCAAACUUUAGUUAACACCAUACAAAUUUAUUCUACAACAUUGACUUUAACUUUUUCAAUUUCACUGUUUUAUUUUUAAAAAAGGAAUUUUCUUUCAGCAGCAAUAUUUAUCUAUAAUGCAUUAGUUUCAUCUCAAUCAUAGCUAUUGUUCUUAAUUAAGAUCUAAUUUUUUAGUAUAUUUUGUUCGUUAUUCUGAAUAUUUUAGAGUUUAAUUUAUCAGUUCCUAUUUGGACAAUUGGGUCUUUGCAUAUUAACUUGAAAUAUACACAAAUCUCUUGUUAAUACAAAUAGUAGUGAUUAAAUCAAGAAGCCUCUCAUACUUCUUUAUUUUUGCUGAAUUGAGAAACUAUUAUAACAAAUUGAGAACAAAGGCAUUAUGGUUCACUUAUGAGCUUUGUUUACAUAUAAGCUAUGCAAAUAAGCUCUAUACACUAAGAAACAUGAAUGUAUUUCUCAGCUUAGUAAUCAAAGUCUAAUUAUCUGAAUAUGCCCUGGGCAUACAUAUGGUUUUCAGAUGUGUGAUCAUCCAAGUAAUAUAUAAAAUUGGACCUCUUUAGCUUUAGAAAUAAAACUAGAUGAGAUAAUAUUCAACUUCUGGAAGAGAAGAAAUGUUAGCAAUAAACAGUAUUAAAUCCCCAGUCUCCGUUUUCCUUUCCAUAGUUGUUAGACCUAAUCUCUCUGCUCUUUGGAUGUAUAUUCUUUAUCUAUUUUGACUUUGACAUAAAAGAUUCUGUUGCUCAACAGUUAUUGCAUAUAAUAUCACAAAGCAAUAUAAUUGAUCCUCAUAAUCCUCAGCAUCAGCUUUUUCAAAAUGCCAAUUUAAAUAUAUCAUUUAGAAUGUUUUGUACAUGUGGAAAUGAGUCAUCUCUGUUUAUGCAUAUGCAGGAAUACAAUAAUGUUUAUGUGGGAAUGUUAUUUGAGAAACUAAUAAAAGUUAAUUAAUUUACAAUGUAUUUGUUUCAUUUCCAAAGAGAAGUAAAUGUGUAUACAUUCAUUUUGCUUAUCUCAUGAAUGUAAAAAUCACAAUCUAAGAUAUUCAAGCCAAACAUCUGUCAUGUGCAGUAGUAAUUUCAAACCAGAGAAAAAUCUGCUUAGGCAGUGUUUUUAAAGAAUGGGUGCCUAUGAGGUCUUUCAAAAACAAUUUUAGUACUGUAGUUGACAGGACAGCACAGUGGGUUAGGUGUUCUGAGGAGGAUUUAAACUUCAUAGAAUUGUCACUGAUCCAACAACAUUUAAUUAAUUUUACAAGCCAAGAUAUCCUCUGUUCUGUAUUGUGAACAGAAAAUCUAAGAAAUGUCAAAGGCUUUAAAACACUUCCAAAUAACUACUUUGUUCACUCAAGUACCACAAAAUUGUGCUCUGAAAGGAUGCAUCACAUCUAACAUUCAAUAAAUUUACUAACUCCAGUGACAACGGAUAUAAUCUACUUUUUUCUUAAAUUAAAAUGAGAGAUCGUCUUUUCUCAACAGUAAAAUUUAUCAACAAACUAAGAGAGUUACAGAGCUGCUCAGGAGAUAAUUCAAGGAUAGUCUGAUCCUUCAUGUGCUAUUAAUUUCCAAGCAUAAAUGCUAUAAGUAAUAGCUAUAUGCCCUAAUUUCAGUAUAACCUAAACAUUUAUGCAACUUGAGUAAAUUCCAACAUUAUACAAAUGUUGAACAGUAGGAUUUUUCUCUCUUUAAAUCCACAAUGUCGACCUUGGCCUUAUUUUAUCCUAGAAUUACUCCAAGGUCUCUGAAUCAGAUUUUGAGAAUCUAGGGGGUUCUAGGAGAAAGAGUAUCUUCCCCUUUUUUUCUGCAAUAGACACCCAUCCAUGAACAAUGAAGGUCACUGUAAAUCAGGGGUGUCAAACUGCCAGCCCACGGGCGGGAUGCAUCAAACUGAAGCUGCGCCCACCCUAGCUCCAGCAAGGAGGAAAAAGUUGCAAUAAGUUGUGACACAUUACGUGACGUAGCGAGUUUGACAACCCUGCUGUAAAUAGUUACAGCUUCCCAAUUACAAAUAUCACAGGAUAAUAUCUGUACGAGUUAGACUGAGAAUCGGAGAGUGCCAAGGAAGGGAUUAUUGUUGUAUCAAUGGCCACUCAGCCCCCUGCCCGAAACGUGCAGAACAGAUGUCCCUUAAGCUAUUAGAAAACUGGUGGUGGUAGGAAAGCUACAGGUUUAAUCUGUGCUGGACAUAAGGGGAAAUUAAACUCUCAUAUUGACAGAUGGCAAACAACUAGCUUCAGCCUAGUGCCGAUGCCAGUAUGCCAUAUGAAAAUUCUUAUCUAGCUAUGCUGGUUGAAAAUAUGAAUAGUGUCUGCAGAUUUCUAACCAGUGGGUAGCUAAAAUUU